rnacentral:rRNA from 1 species
UGCGGCAUCACUAUACGAGGCUUAAAGUCCUGUAAUUGGAAUGACGGAAAUUUAAGCUCUUUCCGGAGUAUCAAUUGGAGGGCAAGUCUGGUGCCAGCAGCCGCGGUAAUUCCAGCUCCAAUAGCGUAUAUUAAACUUGUUGCAGUUAAAAAGCUCGUAGUUGAAUUUCUGCUGCAUCAUUUAUAUUCCUUAAUCGGUUUAUUCAUGUUGUGGCUUUUUCUGGUGAUUAUACUUCGGUAUUAUUAUCCAGAUUGUUACUUUGAGAAAAUUAGAGUGCUUAAAGCAGGCAUUUGCCUUGAAUACUUUAGCAUGGAAUAACUAAGUAGGACUUUGGUUCUAUUUUGUUGGUUUAAGAGCCAAAGUAAUGAUUAAUAGGAACAGUUGGGGCUUUCCCGUAUUUAAAA